ensembl:misc_RNA Metazoa_SRP Metazoan signal recognition particle RNA
GUUAAGUGCAGUGGUGUGUGCCUGUAGUCCCAGCUUCUUGGGAGGCUGAGGCAGGAGGAUCACUUGAGCCCAGGAGUUUGAGGUUGCAGUGAACUAUGAUCAAGCCACUGCACUUCAGCCUGGGCAACAGAGCAAGACCCUGUCUCUU